CCGCUUUGAGUAUAUCUUGGACAUGAUUGGUCGUCUUGUGCAACAAAGGGAUUCUCCUGUACAGAACCAUGCCCAAUUGGAAGCUGCUUUACAUGAGAAAUGGCGUAGACUGUCCCUUCAGAGGAUCAGGAGGCUGACAGGGGGUAUGAGGAGGAGAGUGCUGGCUGUCAUACAGUCACAUGGUGGUUACACUUGGUAUUGACAUUGAAUCGUGUAAGGCACGCAAAAUGACAUUUUGAAUGUUCACAUUCACCAAUGAAUUCAACAUUAAACAUUCCAGGGCCAUACUUGUACAGAUAUGGUUUUGUAUGAAAA